rnacentral:misc_RNA from 3 species
AACGCACAUUGCGCCCGCCAGUAUUCUGGCGGGCAUGCCUGUUCGAGCGUCAUUUCAACCCUCAAGCUCAGCUUGGUGUUGGGACUCGCGGUAACCCGCGUUCCCCAAAUCGAUUGGCGGUCACGUCGAGCUUCCAUAGCGUAGUAAUAAUACACCUCGUUACUGGUAAUCGUCGCGGCCACGCCGUAAAACCCCAACUUCUGAAUGUUGACCUCGGAUCAGGUAGGAAUACCCGCUGAACUUAA